UAGUAAGCGGCGAGUGAAGCGGGAACAGCUCAAAUUUGAAAUCUGGCCCUUGGGUCCGAGUUGUAAUUUGCAGAGGAUGCUUUUGGUGCGGUGCCUUCCGAGUUCCCUGGAACGGGACGCCUUAGAGGGUGAGAGCCCCGUACGGUUGGCCACCAAGCCUGUGUAAAGCUCCUUCGACGAGUCGAGUAGUUUGGGAAUGCUGCUCAAAAUGGGAGGUAUAUUUCUUCUAAAGCUAAAUACUGGCCAGAGACCGAUAGCGCACAAGUAGAGUGAUCGAAAGAUGAAAAGCACUUUGAAAAGAGGGUUAAAUAGCACGUGAAAUUGUUGAAAGGGAAGGAUUUAUGACCAGACUUUUUCUGGGGGGAUCAUCCGGUGUUCUCACCGGUGCACUUCCCCCAGUGGAGGCCAGCAUCGGUUUCUGCCGGGGGACAAAAGCUUCGGGAAUGUGGCUCCUUCGGGAGUGUUAUAGCCCGUUGCAUAAUACCCUGGCGGGGACCGAGGUUCGCGCAUUGCAAGGAUGCUGGCGUAAUGGUUAUUAAUCACCCGUCUUGAAACACGGACCAAGGAGUCGAACAUUUGUGCGAGUGUUUGGGUGUUAAACCCUCACGCGUAAUGAAAGUGAACGGAGGUGAGAGCCCCUCGGGGUGCAUCAUCGACCGAUCCUGAUGUCUUCGGAUGGAUUUGAGUAAGAGCAUAACUGUUCGGACCCGAAAGAUGGUGAACUAUGCGUGGAUAGGGUGAAGCCAGAGGAAACUCUGGUGGAGGCUCGCAGCGGUUCUGACGUGCAAAUCGAUCGUCAAAUCUGCGCAUGGGGGCGAAAGACUAAUCGAACCAUCUAGUAGCUGGUUACCGCCGAAGUUUCCCUCAGGAUAGCAGUGUUGUGUUCAGUUUUAUGAGGUAAAGCGAAUGAUUAGGGACUCGGGGGCUAUUUAUUGCCUUCAUCCAUUCUCAAACUUUAAAUAUGUAAGAAGCCCUUGUUACUUUAUUGAACGUGGGCAUUCGAAUGUAUCAACACUAGUGGGCCAUUUUUGGUAAGCAGAACUGGCGAUGCGGGAUGAACCGAACGCGAGGUUAAGGUGCCAGAGUAGACGCUCAUCAGACACCACAAAAGGUGUUAGUACAUCUUGACAGCAGGACGGUGGCCAUGGAAGUCGGAAUCCGCUAAGGACUGUGUAACAACUCACCUGCCGAAUGUACUAGCCCUGAAAAUGGAUGGCGCUCAAGCGUCUCACCCAUACCUCGCCCUUAGGGUAGAAACGAUGCCCUAAGGAGUAG
rnacentral:rRNA from 2 species